UAAGACAGAGGUCCCGAGCGUUAGGCGGAAUCACUGGGCUUAAAGCGUGUGUAGGCGGAGUGCUAAGUACCUUGUGAAAUCCCACGGCUCAACCGUGGAACUGCUUGGUAUACUGGUUCUCUUGAGCCACCUAGGGGCAACCGGAACAAACGGUGGAGCGGUGAAAUGCGUAGAUAUCGUUUGGAACGCCAAUGGUGAAAACAGGUUGCUGGAAGUGUGCUGACGCUGAGACACGAAAGCCAGGGGAGCAAACGGGAUUAGAUACCCCGGUAGUCCUGGCUGUAAACGAUGUCGACUAGAUCGUGGUGGCUCUGACGCCUUCACGGUCGAAGCAAAAGUGCUAAGUCGACCGCCUGGGAAGUACGGUCGCAAGGCUA
rnacentral:rRNA from 1 species